CAACCUGUUUCCUUAGCAACCUAGUAUUACAGAAUUCGGAUGUACUUUUCGGUUCUUCAUUUAUUUAAGUGGGUGCUUUCAUUCAGUUAGUGAUCACGAAACAAAGAAGAGCAGGAAGAUCCGAAAUGAUAACGUCUGCAGAGAACUUGGAACAGCUUGGCGCAAGAUGCUUUUCGAAAUGAAGUACGCACUGCUGUCUGACGUGGAGGAUGUCUGCACAAAGAUCUUCACGGUUAUCUGCCUGGGGGUUUACAUUUGACUUGGACUGCAGCCUGCCAGGAUCUUGCUUUUUAUGCUCCAUAAAUAAUUAAACACAUUAAUAAUGGAAAGGAUGUUCCUGACACUAGCACGCUGGCAAAUAUUAGUAGCAGACCUCCCGA